GAUGAAGAACGUAGUGAAAUGCGAUAAGUAAUGUGAAUUGCAGAAUUCAGUGAAUCAUCGAAUCUUUGAACGCACCUUGCGCCCCUUGGUUAUUCCGAAGGGCAUGCCUGUUUGAGUAUCAUGAACACCUCAACUCUUGUGGUUUCCCACAAUGAGCUUGGACCAUGGAGGUUUUUGUUGGCCCUCUGGUCAGCUCCUCUCAAAUGGAUCAGCUUACCGGUGUUUGGUGGCAUCAUGGGUGUGAUAACUAUCUACGCUUGUGGUCGUCUCCAAAUAACCUCCAGUGAUGGAGGUUCGCUGGAGCUUAUAAACGUCUCUCCCCAGUGAAGACAGCCUUUGAACGUUCGAUCUCAAAUCAGGUAGGACUACCCGCUGAACUUAAGCAUAUCAAUAAGCGGAGGA
rnacentral:misc_RNA from 1 species